UCCACUUCUCGGAGUUGCUGCUGGAAAUUACGAGGGCAAGCCUCGUAAAAGCGGCCGUUUUGGUUGGAGUAGCGAGGGGUUUGGCUCAAUAAGUUGAAGGCGUAUCCCUCGCUACCUUUCCCCCUUGGUGAAGUAGCUCCUUGGCUCAAUGCCCUUAUUUGUUCUUGGCUGGCUUUACGGAACAUUCCCUGUCCCUGCUGCCUUCGAUGGCUUUGCCUCCCACCAAACAGCUCGUCUAGCAGCUCACUUCGUGUCUAAUACGACAAAACAUGAAUGAAUCAAUGAAUAAUUGAAUUUUAUUUAAAAAAACAAAAAAUAAUAAUUAGUUCAAAGAAUAAUACAUUGAAGACAGCCUCAAGAAUUUCACGGCUGAAGAUUCGUAAGUAUGACUGAGGAUUUUCCUGUCCAGCAGGGAAGAAUUUCUGCAGCAAAAUACAGAUAAAAGGGGUUAAUAACUUUAUAUAUUACUAAUAAGUUUCUGAAUGUUUUAAAGGUAAAAUACCUGGAAUUGUCCAGGGUUAUUGACAGGUCGGUGGAGCACUGCUAUGGUUAGCUUUUCCCUGUUGUCUUGGUUCGCCAAGUACACAGUGCUUCCUGCUGGAAUUCUUACUACAACUCCAGGAACUACAUUGUAUGACUCUUUGUUUUCAUGUGUCACGAACGUAAUUGUUCCUCUUCCUGAGAAAGUAAAUAAUUUACCAUGUUUUAGUUAAUGGUGAUAUAUUAUAUAUGUUAAUAAAAGGGAAGAGCAAAAAUAGAGUAUUCACCGUUAGUGACAACGUAAAUUUUCUCCGCGUCACAAUGGUGUGGGAGAACGAAAGUGUUGGGGUUUGCUUCUAAAAUGGCAAUGCGGAACUCGUUGAUGCCCCUAAGUAAAUGAUGUUUGUCAGCAAACCUCUGGAGGACUCUGAAAUUGCCAUGUUCUUCCCUGAAUCGUUCUUGGAACGAUCUGCGAUGGAAGUAGUAAGGGUUGUUCCUUUGUUGUUGCUCUCCUUCGUCACUUUCCUCUUCUUCUUCUUCUCUCCACUUGUUUUCUCUCUCUCCCUUCCAUGGAUCCUCUUGGUACUGUUCCCUGCAUUCCUUCACACAUUGUUGCUUCCGUUCGGGCCUUUGCUCUUGCCAUUGGCAACGCUGUUGACACUCCUUGAAUCGCUUGUCAGGCUGCUGCUGCUGCUGUUUCUCGUAUUGUUCCCGGCAGCUUUGUUCGCAAUGUGGACGCAGCCUUCUUUCUUCCUGUUGGCAGUGUUGUCGGCAAUCCUGGUAUCUCCUCUGAGGAUCUUCUCCGUCACGCUGCUGCUCCUCCUUAAACUGCGUUUCACACCUGUCUUCACACUUGUCUUGCUCCGUUUGUCCACGUGUCUCCAAUUGGCAUCGCUUCCGGCAGUCCUCGUACCUCUGUUGAGGAUCAUCCUCGCUUCUUCUGCCGGGGAAGUCUUUGGCAGAGCAAAGCAAGCCAAAGGAAAGGAAAAGAGAAAAGAGCAAAACUACGAAAACUGACUUGUUCCUCACCAUGAUUACUAUAAGCUCUGUAUUUUUUAGUGCACGAUGGUAAUGGCAAAGACCGGUAAUGUAUUUAUGGAAGGUGGAACUGUGGAAGGUGAUGUUUUUGCAUGCAAAUCUCCAUAAACGUGUUGAAGACAUUGACAUGCAAGGUGACGAGUGUGCAAAUUAAAGAAGACAAAAUAUUUUGAGUCUUUUUUUAUCGAGAUGCCACAUCCCUUCACGUGGUACGGUCAGGAUUCGGACAAGCUUUGUUGCAGAGGGGAAUCAUGGUUGUAUCUGUAACUGGAAGUGGCGAAGUGAUAAUGCUUUGACAGUAGAGUGGUGGACCGAGUUGUCCUUUGUGUCAACUCGGGUGAGUUUAAAGAGUGUAAAAAGUGGGAUGUGGCUGUUUUAUGAGGUGAAUUAGAGACGAGUUGAUGUCCCGAUUCACUGAGUUUUAAGGUUGAGUUGGUUUUUAUCUGCACUUGGGCAGAAUGGAGGACAGCUCAAGUGUACACAUGUUGCUGUGCAUGGUGAUGACUGAUGAGUUGCUUGAGAUAUGAACGAAUUAAGACAUGUACAUAGAUACUAUUUGAAUUUGAUAUAAUCUAAUUGUAUAAAUUCAUGCUACUGAAAUUUAAAAACUAAGAUAACAUGUCACAUGUUGAAAAAUAAAAAUGAAUUUUAAAAUGAAGGCAUGCUUAUACCUGGUUUUUUUAGUUGGGUGAGAGAAGUUAUGAGUAGAAUAAAGAUUAUAUUAAAAUAAAUUUUAAAAUUAUUAUUGAAAUUUUAAAUUUAUUCAUUAAAUAUGUUAGAAAAUAUAAUUUGUAAAAAAGGUUAAAUAUUGAUGGCUAAAAAAGACUCAAAAAUAUAAUUAAAGUUAUUUUAACAAAACAUACAAAUAUUAAUAGCCAAAUUUAUGAAAAAGUCAUAAUGGUUUCUUUUAAUGUUACAAGUUCAAUGUCACUUUAGCCAUCUCAUGGAGCUAAUCAACCGCGCAAUACAUGAUCAUAAUGCCUACAACGGGGCCUUGCAGACGAAUGGCACCUUACAGACUACCUCGCGAACAGAAUCAACGGUUCACACAACAAAAUAUCUCGAUUCACAACACAUCUCCUCAAGACAGAAAUUAUCCCACAUACCACCUAACAUUCUCCUUCAAAUACAAUCACCAAGAUUCACCGUACGGCGCAGCAGCAUCACUUACCACUGACAGCCCUUAUCCACUAACUUUUGCUACGUCCUUACAACACUUCAACCAAACUCACUGCAAAUUACUAUUUAUCAGACAAUUACCAUGUCAUCUCCAACGGCUCCGGUUUUCAACAUGUUUGUAUACCCCCCAAACAGGAAGCGGCGCAGGUACCUCCUUGGCCAAGUUUAUGUCCAUUGGAAGUUACAAUCAAUACUCGCAGAUAUCAAACACCUGCAAAACGGGAUCUGAUUAUACGUACAAGAGGAACGAUACCCACUCCAUGCAACAGUCAACAGGUUGGCAUACGUAGCCUGGAACUUGUUUCUUUGACUUGAAGUUUACCAAAAAAAUUAUACCACUUUAACUAUAUAUUAAAAGAAUUUGAUUCACGAUUUGUUUAAAUUUUUUAUAAAUGAGAAUGAGAAUAAAGUUGUUUGAGAUCGAUUUUAACCUUUAAUAUUUACAAUAUAAUGUUUUUGUUACUAGGUCUAGAGGUUGCUGACAAAAUAACUUAUUUAAUUAAAUGUCAUUUUGCUUAGCAAUGCAAGUUCAUUUUCAUUACAAAAAGGAAAUAUUUUCUCUUGAUAUUAUACCAUAUCUUGAACAUGAAAGUUAGUGAAAAUUAAACUUGUUUAAUUAAAUCAAUUUUAUAUAUAUAAGAAAAGAAAGAAAGGCAAAAGUGAUGAAUAAAAAAACUUCAAUGGAGCAUUGGGGAUAAUAAAAGAAAUAUAUAUCUUAAAGCAAGGUUAAUUUUGUAAUAAUAAACACUAGUUAACCCAUUGGAGCAUUUACCUUCGUUGCAUUUGAUAAAACUCACCUCACUGGUGAAAUUCGAGGGGAGCUAAAACCUCCGGUUGGAAUUUUUUUUGUUCAGAAAGUUGUGCUACAGACAAGCAGAUUGGAGGGAUUAUUGUUGUACCCAAAAUAUGUGGGUUUAGACCUAGAGUCAUAACCACCGGCUGAAGUCCAAAUAGCAAUAAAAGGCUCAAGCAAUAAGCAGGCUAGCCAAUUACGAAAUGACCCAUAAAGGGUUACUUGCUCAUUUAAUGAAAACGAACCUGACCUUACCCCUGUAGAGCUUGAGAGUUGGUAUAAGCAUCCUCCUUAUGUCUUCAUGCAAGAAGCUUUUCAUAAGCUCCAUUCGACUUAAACUCAAGCUGUUGAACAAGAUAGAACAGGGAUCUAACAACCCUAAAAUAGAAUGUAGCUAAUUCACCAAUCAAAUAUAAUGGUUAGAUCUAAACAUGAGAUCGGGUAGCUCCACAAAAAUAUUACAAAAUCCAUAAAUGCUCACUAUCAAACAUUAUAAAAAUUUAUCCUUUCUCAAGGUUGAAAAUUUUGGUAUUAGUAUAAUUUUUAGAGACAUUAACAACAUCAAAUGACAUAAUACUAAUUACUUAAGUACUUAACAUUUUAUUCCUUAACAUAGAAAGACAAAAAAACGCACUCAAAAGUUCAUACAAGUUAUUGCACUACAAAACAAGGGUCUCCUCCUUUACAUAGGUCACCAUUUUUAUUUCAUUACAUGCCUGCUUAAAACUAGAAAAUUUCACAUUAGUCCAUAAACACGAGACUAUGUGAUUAUUAUUGCCUUUUAACUCUUUAUUCAGAUGCACGCUGCCUCUGUCGAGACACGAAGUAAGACUCUUGUGGGUUGUUGUUGAAUAUCUCAUCCACCAACCUCGAUGACACCCCAAAGGCCAACUCCUUGGCUUGGCUAUCCCAUUGUCUCACAUGGUUGAUUUUCCCAGCCACGAAGAUCCUCUGGUUAUGGUCUGGGUUAAUGUUCUGGUUGUAAAGACCGAACCCAGUCAUCCUCAGGUUCUGGUUUUGGGAUGCAACGAAUGUAACUGGAAAGUUUGCUGGGACUACAAAUAUGUCUCCACGCGACAACCGGGACCUUAUUUUCCUGUAUUGUCCACUUCUCCUUUCCUCUUCUUGUUCUUGUUCUUGUUCUUCUUCUUGUUCUUCUUCUUCUUCAUAUGAGCUUUGCCUAGGAAGAUGAGGAGAAACCAUUUCAGCGUAUCCAUUUCCUUCGGUAACAAGGAUCACGAAUGUAGCCUUUGAAUUGUAGUGCGGCACAAAGAUUGAUCCCUACAAAAAAAGGAUUUGAUUUUGGUUAGUAUAAUGAUGGAAAUUAGAGGGAAAAUAAAGGGUGGUUUGGUUUUAAGUACUUGGUUUAAUUGCAAGGCUGAAACGGUGACAUUGAUGUCCCUGAGUUGCCGGAAUUCACGUGGGCAAGCCUCGAAGAAGCGGCCGUUUUGGUUGGAGUAGCGAGGGGUUUGGCUCAAUAAGUUGAAGGCGAAUCUCUCGCCACUUUUCUCCCUUGGUGAAGUGGCUUCUUGGCUCAAUGCCCUUAUUUGUUCCUGGCUGGCUUUACGGAACAUUCCCUGUCCCUGCUGCCUUCGACGGCUUUGCCUCCCACCAAACAGCUCGUCUAGCUGCUCACUUCGUGUCUAAUACAACACAACAUGAAUGAAUCAAUGAAUAAUCAAGUUUUAUUAAAAAAAAGUUGAUUAAUUAGUUCAAAGAGC
rnacentral:lncRNA from 1 species